UAGACACAGAUGGACCCUACAA
rnacentral:miRNA from 1 species